CAAGUAAACCGGGUGACCGCCGCUUAACUUUUGUUAAGGGGAGGAAAGUCCGAGCUCCUUCAGGCAGGAUGCUGGAUAACGUCCAGGAGGGGAAACCCUACGGAAAGUGCCACAGAAACAUACCGCCUCAGCGCAAGCUGCGGUAAGGGUGAAAUGGUGAGGUAAGAGCUCACCGCUCCGAUGGUGACAUCGGUGGCGGGUAAACCCCAUCCGGAGCAAGACCAAAUAGGGGGACAUAAGGUGCCUGUCCUGUUCCCGGGUUGGUCGCUAAAGGUGGCGAGUAAUCGUCACCGUAGAUAGAUGGUCACCGCUUCGCUUUUAGCGGAGUACAAAACUCGGCUUACAGGUUUACUUGGCCU
rnacentral:RNase_P_RNA from 1 species